CAGACCAUAGAUAAUAUAGAAGACAGCGCGCUAGCGUAUCUAGUCUAUGUAUAUGUAUGGUCGCCACGUCUGGUAGCAUCUCUGGCUGAUGUUGAUCUUGUUUUUGGAGUAAAACACGGUGGAAGCUGAAUUAGUGAGGAUGACUCCUGCUCCUGUCAUCUCUAAGCUCCUCACACAUCUUUACCUGCACAUGAGGAAAAUCACUCCUGUAGAAUGCAGAUAUUCAGAGGGAGAUGAUGCCACAUCUGGUCCAGCUGAUGGAAGGUCUUGAAGUUCUCUGACUGGCCUCGACUGAAGAUGGUCGUCUCACUGGAUUUAAGGUUCAGAUGCUCGGUAACAAACUCCACCAAUGAGCCAACAAGGAAGCUUUAGGUUUAUUAAAUGUUGCUAUGAAGGUAUCGCUGUUUUUCUUUGUGAAUGCAAUGUGCUCCAACUGAAACUUGAAUUAGAACUUAGAAGUAAAUCCUUCCAUCUGAAAGGAUUUAGUUGCAUUAAUAACCUCAUAACAUUUUAAUUUUUAUUCCAGUCUUGGUUGGAAAUAGAAUCUCUGUAUUGAUUCAGGUAAAAACUGAACUUCACAGCAUGUUGGAGCAAAACAACCAGAUGAAAACUGUGAUGGUGUUGGAUUGUCAGACUGUAAUGUUGCAGCUCAAAGCAGCUUUUCUAUCUCAGUUCAUUCUGACAUUUAGCUAUGAAUCAACACAGCAGAUGGUGAUCCAUGCUGUGGAAGUCUCACAUCUCCUGAUUUAAUGGAGCUGCUUUGCACUUUUUACACUGUUUAUUCACCAACACUUUAUUUAAUAAAAGUCCCAUCUAGUUUUUAUGAGGAAUGUGAUGUUUUAAUUCCUCUGUGAAUAACUGCAGUCUAAUGCAACAGCUGGAGUUGUAACAUCUGUCCUGAUAUUGAUCAUGAAGUAUUGAUCAGAGUACUGAUGGUCAGCAGUCAUCCCUGAAGUUUUACAUUAAAAUCUUUACUUGUGUUGUGAACUUUGGUAAGAAGCAGAAACGUUAGCGUUGCCAUGGAUAUAUGAGUAUUAAAUUCUGUCCAUGUUUCCAUUUUGGGAAAUGCAGUCCAGUUCUAGAAUGUGGAGGAAUUUAGUCUCACAAUCACAGACAACAAAUAUUAUCUGAAAGUCAGGUUAUUAUUGUUUAUCAGCACAAUACAAAAAGAUUAAUGUUAGAAAUAUUCCAGUUAAGACUCUAGAAUAUCAUGAUUUAUGUAAAUUUACCUCAAUAAUAUGAAUGUUCAGGUUAAGAUUGUACAGUGAUAUUUAUUAUGUAAGUUUAGCUGAUUAAAGUUUAUGACUCUGCACUAAAAUAUUAUUUAAAUUGACAUCAUUAUUAUAAUAUUUAGGGUCAGACCCUACAGUAUUGGGAUUAAGAAAUCAAAUAUUCUAUAAAAUGUAAAUACACUGAACUCAUUUGGAUAUAUUUAAGUGAGACUCUACAAUAUUAUUUAUGACACAAAUCUAUCUAAAUAAAAAUUUUAAUCAUUUUUACUCCAAACAUUUACUGAACUGAUUUAAAUAUUAAAAUCACUCCUUUCUAAUCUUCUGCUGUACGUUCAAACCUGAGGCCUUAAAUAGAAACACACAAGUAUCUGAUUGAAGGAACUUCUGCAGAGUCCUGGUUCCAGAACAUGAUGAUAGAAUUAUAGACAAACUUUAACAAAAGCUGCCUGAGAGUUUACAAGUUUUUAUGUUAGAUUUCUUCAGUAAUUUAAUGAGUUAUCAGCAAUAAUCAAGUGUUCAUUUGAUGAACUUCAUUUCCUAAAACAUCCAGAAUUGGAGCUCAUAUCUUUGGCAGCUGUAAAGUUUCUGCUCCUUCAAAGUUCACAACACAAUGAAUGAAUUCCUAAAACACUCUCAAUGCUGGAGAGUGUUUGUGAUGCUGAAGCAGUGACCAGUUUUUCUGUUUCUUCUCUGGAGAUGCACAAUGAGGGACGUCUGCAGAGACUGAGAAAGAGUCUCACCACAUCCUGACAUGAGGAAAAAGACUUUAUUGAAGACUACAAUGAGAAAAACUAUCAGACAGCAGAUGGCUGCAUUCAAGUCUGUAGCUGCUGAAUUCAUGGAUGAAUCAUCUGGCACUAGAGAGGAAGACCAUCAAACAUCCAUGUCAGCUGAUGGAGGUCCAAGAGUCUCACCCAACAAACAACCUACAGAGUGAAGACCUCAAAUCUGAUUGGACGGCCUCCUAUUCAGCCACAUGUGUGAACAAAUGCCUCUAAGCUGAUUUGUUUUCUAAAAUAAAUCUAGUUUGAGUUCUAAUCUAUGCCUGUGUGUUUGCUUCUUUACACUGCUGUUAACAGUUUAGGCUGUUAGAUUGUUCCAGACAAGACAAGUAAAAGAUACUUCAGAGCCGUUCUACCACGAGCCUGACAGGAAGAACUCCAACAGCUACUGAAUGUUCCUGUGGUCCCCUCAAGGCUACAGGAGGAGUCCU
ensembl:lncRNA